UACGGAGGAUGCAAGCGUUAUCCGGAUUCAUUGGGUUUAAAGGGUGCGUAGGCGGACUAUUAAGUCAGUGGUGAAAGCCUGCAGCUUAACUGCAGAACUGCCAUUGAUACUGAUAGUCUUGAGUUUGGUUAAGGUAGGCGGAAUGUGUAAUGUAGCGGUGAAAUGCUUAGAUAUUACACAGAACGCCAAUUGCGUAGGCAGCUUACUGAGCCGACACUGACGCUGAGGCACGAAAGCGUGGGGAUCGAACAGGA
rnacentral:rRNA from 1 species